rnacentral:rRNA from 1 species
UACGGAGGGGACUAGCGUUGUUCGGAAUUACUGGGCGUAAAGCGCACGUAGGCGGAUUUGUAAGUCAGGGGUGAAAUCCCGGGGCUCAACCUCGGAACUGCCUUUGAUACUGCAAAUCUCGAGUCCGGAAGAGGUGAGUGGAAUUCCUAGUGUAGAGGUGAAAUUCGUAGAUAUUAGGAAGAACACCAGUGGCGAAGGCGGCUCACUGGUCAGGUACUGACGCUGAGGUGCGAAAGCGUGGGGAGCAAACAGG